CCGGCGUGGAGCGCACUUUCAGCAGUCUGAUUGCCGAGGGUGAGCUCGCUGGCAGAGGAACUUGGGCCUUCCAACUCUUUGGUUUGUUGCGUUGGGGUCGCAGUCGACUUUAAUGGGAACCAAGCAAGGCACCCAGUGGCCUCUGCCAUCAGGUGCGUGGCAGUUAUCACAUGACAAUUGUCAGAACUCGCGAGGCGCGCCGAUUCAGCGAGUGCCAGUGUGGCUGGCUGUGAAGCGAACUUUAGGUUCGAGUUUCUGGUUCAGCUUGCAGCCUUUCUUGGAGUUGGAACCUCCUCCUGGUCCUUGAAGAAGAACUCAGGGGAGAGCAUGAACACAUGCAUACUACAAACUAUGCAGUUGGGUUUGCCAUAUUUGGGGAAAUGGCAGGGGUCAGCACAUCCGGAGUAUAAUGGAUGAGCCUUGCCCUGGGAAAACCACCUUUGUGAUUGUGAUAGCUCCCCUGCCAGAUUCUUAUUUAAAGUUCAACUGAACAUCAGCAAGUUGAUUAAAAGGUAAGAAACUGACCACUGGCUUUUAUGGUGGAGAAAACGCCAUUUCAAAUAAAAAUAAUAAUACAACUUGGGUUACCAUGAUAUUGUAGUUAAGAAAACUUAUAGUCAUAUUAUAUAAAAGCUCCAGUAUAAGAGGAAGAGUUAUCAGAAUUUUA